CCCAAUUUUAAAAUGGGCAAAGGACUUGAACAGACAUUUUCCAAAGAGGGUGUACAAAUGACCAAGAAGCACAUGAAAAGAUGUUCAGUAUCUUUAGUCAUUAGGGAAAGGCAAAUCAAAACCACAAUGAGCCUGGGUGAGGUGGCUCAUACCUGUAAUUCCAGCACUUAGGGAGGCUGAGGCAGGUGGAUCACUUGAGGUCAGGAGUUCGAGAACAGCCUGGCCAACAUGGUGAAACCCUAUCUCUACUAAAAAUACAAAAAUUAGCGGGGUUUGAUGGUGCAUGCCUGUAUUCCCAGCUACUCAGGAGGCUGAGGCAGGAGAAUCACUUCAACCUGAGAAAUGGAGGUUGCAGUGAGCCGAGAUCACACCUCUGUACUCCAGCCUUGGCAACAGAGCGAGCCUCUGUCUCAAAAAAAGAAAAACAAAACAAAACAAAAAAACCACAGUGAGAUACCACUUCAUAUCCAUUAGGAUGGCUAGAAUUUUUUUUAUAUAACAAGUGUUAGCAAGGACAUGGAGAAAUUGAAACUCUUGUACAUUGCUGGUGGGAAUGUAAAAUGGUGCAGCCACUGUGGAAAGCAGUGUGAUGGUUCCUCAAAAAGUUAAGCAUAGAAUUACCAUAUAACCCCAAGUCCCACUGCUAGGUAUAUACUAAAAUAUUUGAAAAUGGGUAUUUAUUUAUUUAUUUAUUAAAUGAGGCAGGAUCUUGCUCUGUUGCCCAGGCUGGGGUUCAGUGUUAUGAUCAUAGUUCACUGCAGCCUUGAACUUCUGGGCUCAGGCCGUCCUCCCGCCUAAGCCUCUUGAGUAGCUGGGACUACAGGCACAUGCCACUAUGUCUUGCUAAUUUUUUAAAUUGUUUAGAGUGGGUGUUUGUGUGGCGGGGGUCUCACUAUGUUGCUCAAGCUUGUCUCUAACUCCUAAUCUCAAGCAGUCCUCCUGACAUGGACUUCCAAAGUGCUGGGAUUACAGGUUUGAGCCACUGUGCCGGCCUGAAAAUAGGUAUUUAAACAAAUACUUAUAUGUGCAUGUUCAUAGCAGCACUAUUUACAAUGGCCAAAAAUGUACAAACAACUCAAAUAUCCAUCAGCAAAUAAAUGCAUAAACCAAAUAUGGCAUAUACAUACCUACUUCCCCCCAAUGGCUCCUCCUAUCCCUCAGUAGAUUUGAUGUUCUCUCAUUUGUGACUUCAGAGUAUAUUCCACAGCUUAAGCUUUAGUACCCAACUUGUUUGUGGCCAGAAGAGGUCAGUGUCCCUCUUCUAACCUCUGAGCUGCUUCCCAUGUAGUGAUUGUAUCUCGUUCAUUAAUACAUCCCUAGUACAUGGCACAUACUAAACACUAAAAAUACUUAUUGAACAAAUUAAUUUAUUUUGUCCUAUUUCAGAUCCCAUAUAGAAUUAUAUAUUGCACAUCAUUUAUAUGUCAAAUGCUUAUAUUGUACUUUUCUGUUUUUGUUCUUUCAUUUUUGCCUCUCUUGCUCAUCAGAUUAUAAAGUAUCCCAGGACAGUGCUCUGUAACCAGCCCAUAGUAGCUACUGCUAUUUUACCAGCUACUGUAUCUUUCCUUCUUUGAUUUCCAGCACCUGACAGUGAAAAGAGCAAUUUGAAGAAAAACAAAAUUUAUCUUCAAUGUGAAAAGCAAUUUAUAAAAAUCCGAAUACUUGCCAGGAGCAACUUGACAAAAAAGACAAAGGUGGUAGAAGAAAUGUAACCAGCCCACAAUUCCAAUGUUGAUAACAGAUGAGCUCCCUUUCAAGGUGACUGACAUUUACACAAGUACACAGAGCAAGAAGAAGGUCUGAGUGAACUGCCAAGCAUUUUAACUUCUCCUGAGACCAAGUACAUCAACAGUUCUCUUGGAAAAGAACAACUGAUUUGGGAGUCUAGCAGACUGCCAGCUGCAAGACAUUCAUCCAGCAUCAGGAACACAAUGGGCCUUCAUUUGCCUGCCUUUCUGAGGGCACCAAUCAAAAGGAGUCUACUCCUAUGUAAAUCUUCUGCAGGUUGUGCAGUGGACUUCACCUAGUCUCCCAUCUCCAGCUAAUUUGGCCAAGAAUAGUCACCUGGCGCAAGGUGGGGAGGGAGCUCUCAAUUGGCCAGCAACUUCUGACGUGUGACCUGACUGAACAAUGAGAGGCUCGAGUGAAAUUACCAGCUGGUAGUAGGACAGAGGAUAUAGAUACAUGGAAUGGAGCUGAGCCAAAUUAAUGACAAAGGACUAGACAAGAAUGACUGUUGAUGAUCACCUAUGCUGAGAUCACAAAGCUGCCCCGAGUCCAGAAGCAGGUUCACUGAGGGAGGCUCAACCAUGUUACCAAUCUUGUUUGAGAUUAAUGUUCCUUGUUG
rnacentral:lncRNA from 1 species